AAAGGAAAUAUUUGCUGCCUAAAACCUCAUCAGUGGUAAGUGGAACAUACAACAGGGAAAGCAUUACAACGGUUAUACGUGAUGUCACAGAAUACUCAGAAAUUCCAGAGGACAGUAAAACAACCUGUUAUGAGCCAAUAGAAGAUUUUCAACACCACCACCAAGAAAGUUUAAGAAAUGCAACUCAUUCGGAAUUCUGCGCUUCUCCUUCUUUAGUCACUCAUGUCGAUAUGUGUGAAUAUAGCUUUAAGAGUGAAGACCAAAAGAAAGAGGAACAAGUGCAGCACGUGGAACAAAAUGUAGUUAAAAUUAUUAUUUUCGGGUAAUUCAAAAAAGACGGAUGGUAUUGCUAUUGCCAACAAGGAAGUUAAUUCAGGUGAUCGACAGGAAAAAGAAUGUUACAGUGAUGGCGCCAAUUUCCCUGCUCAGGUUGAAUACAUGGGUCCUUUACAAAACAGAAAUAUAGAAAAAAAUCGGGAAAAUACGAUGGAAUGUCUAUGUGUUGUUGGUGCUAUAAACCACUCACCUAAAGAAGAAUGCGAAAUAAUGACGCAUACUGCUCAGGAAGAUAAUAUCAAUAGUAAAUCAGUUUAUUUUGAAUUGAGUGCAGCUUCUGAGAAUGAAAAGCUCUUGGUUCCGGAGUGUACCAAUUACCAUAGCGAAUACCAGGAUAAAAAGGCCGACAGGAUGGAGACAAAACAUGUUAACAAAGAGGAAAAUGAAGAAAGCGAUGUCAUUGUUACAGCUGCAUCAAAAUGCGAGAAGGGAGACGAUCAGCCUACUGAGAAUGUGUAUUUUGAAUUGGGUAAAACAGAUGAUUGUUUAUCAUCGACAAUGAAAACAAAAACGACGUGAAUAUGAAAUCUGCGGAACCUUUUCUAUCAAGAAGCUGUUCUAGUUUAAUAAUAUUGGCACAAUUUGAAAAUGUUGUACAAAGAUCGAAGUUUGAUUAACUCUGUUCAUUUACAAUGGGGAUUUUAUUAAGGCACUGUAUAUAUAAGAAAACAAUAUUUUAUUAUCAAAUUUUCAAAUGUUUUCUGAAUAAACGAGAAAGUAUGCGUAAAAAUAGUUAAGAUCAACGAUUGCUCUGUAAUACUUUUUUUUCAUUUUGUCGUUUGUAUCGCCAUAAAAUGUAUAUUGUAUAUAUUUUAAUUUAAGUUCAAGAAAUAAGAGAAACAAAUGUGAAUAUCACUUUAUUAUGUUGUUUACAACAGCGGUGUUAUGUAGUGCAUGUUGGACGAUUGUAAUUAUCUAGCUUGAUGGUGGUGAGAUAUUACAUAUUACGCCAUUAUUAAAAAUAUUGAAAGAGAAACACAAAGAGAGCUAAUAGGAAAAGGAGAGAUUGAGAUGAAGACGGAAUGAUAGGAGUGAGGUAAAAUUUAGUUUUUUUAAUUUUCUUUUUUUUUCUUUUAAGAAUAAACCUUUUAGACGCAUAUAUUCUGCAACAUUAACUUUGUAUGCAAACAGUGUUUAAUCUCCUCUACUAUUAUUAUCUAUUUGGUAUACACUUCCAUGUAUAUGUUUUUUCCUUUUACAGGUGAAGGCUUCGGUAAGCUCAUAAACUUGUAGUAUGUGUAUUAAAAGGCAAAUAUGGGUAAACAUCAAACAAACUUCGGUGUGUCCAAGCAGACUAUGGUUUUAUUCAAAUUUUGACGAACGUUCAUGAAAAAGCACAUAACUGUUAAUUACAUGUACGUACGAGUAAAAUCAAUACAACAAGACAAAUAAGACCUGCCCUAAAUGUUAAGAUAUUAUUUUUUAAGCUGUAAAUUGUUACUUAGUUAAGAAAACUUCAAUGAGUUUUAGCUUUUCAAAUUUGAUAUUUUCCUAUAUCUUUAUACAAAGCUUUUCUUCAAAAAGAGACCAAUACAGUCUAGAAAUGAACACGACCAUCCAGCCCUCUUAAAAUGUACACAUUUUUUUUCUUCAAAAUGUGACACUACUGGGCUGCCGUCCUUUUUAAUUUAGAACAGAGUCAUGCCGUAUAUACCUGUUAAUACCCUAAAAUUGCCCAAAAACUAAAAAAAAGUAUUUUUUAUUGAGUAAGUUUUAGGGUUGAGAAUGAUUUGGGUGAGUCGUCCAUCACGCAGCACUGUCAAAAUUUACUUUGUGGUUGCGCCGACCAGAAAGUAUGGGAAAGUUAAUUGGGACAUCAUGCAAAACAACAAGUCACAAAAUGCUAAUAGAAACAGUAGUUUCAGGUUGUUAUAUGUACGAAAACAUUAAACCACAUUAAAAAUUACCUAUGUUUUCAACUUUGUAGUCAAAUAAGUCUAACAACGAUAAAUAUAAACAACAAACUGAUCGAGGUGUACUUGUUGAUGUGACGUCAUAUUCAUUGUAAAUUUUGACGCAUAUUAUGUGUAGAA